rnacentral:rRNA from 1 species
CCUACGGGAGGCAGCAGUAGGGAAUUUUCCACAAUGGGCGAAAGCCUGAUGGAGCAACGCCGCGUGGGUGAAGAAGGUCUUCGGAUCGUAAAACCCUGUUGUUAGAGAAGAAAGUGCGUGAGAGUAACUGUUCACGUUUCGACGGUAUCUAACCAGAAAGCCACGGCUAACUACGUGCCAGCAGCCGCGGUAAUACGUAGGUGGCAAGCGUUAUCCGGAUUUAUUUGGCGUAAAGGGAACGCAGGCGGUCUUUUAAGUCUGAUGUGAAAGCCUUCGGCUUAACCGGAGUAGUGCAUUGGAAACUGGGAGACUUGAGUGCAGAAGAGGAGAGUGGAACUCCAUGUGUAGCGGUGAAAUGCGUAGAUAUAUGGAAGAACACCAGUGGCGAAAGCGGCUCUCUGGUCUGUAACUGACGCUGAGGUUCGAAAGCGUGGGUAGCAAACAGGAUUAGAUACCCUGGUAGUC